rnacentral:rRNA from 1 species
CCUACGGGAGGCAGCAGUGAGGAAUAUUGGUCAAUGGACGAGAGUCUGAACCAGCCAAGUCGCGUGAAGGAUGACUGCCCUAUGGGUUGUAAACUUCUUUUAUAUGGGAAUAAAACGUUGCACUUGUGGCCUUUUGUAUGUACCAUAUGAAUAAGGAUCGGCUAACUCCGUGCCAGCAGCCGCGGUAAUACGGAGGAUCCGAGCGUUAUCCGGAUUUAUUGGGUUUAAAGGGAGCGUAGGUGGGUUGUUAAGUCAGUUGUGAAAGUUUGGGGCUCAACCGUAAAAUUGCAGUUGAAACUGGCAGGCUUGAGUACAGUAGAGGUGGGCGGAAUGCGAGGUGUAGCGGUGAAAUGCUUAGAUAUCACGAAGAACUCCGAUGGCGAAGGCAGCUCACUGGACUGAAACUGACGCUGAGGCUCGAAAGUGUGGGUAUCAAACAGGAUUAGAUACCCGAGUAGUC